CCCUUAGAUGUCCUGGGCCGCACGCGCGCUACACUGAGUGUCUGAGAUACGAGUCUGCCUGGUCCGGCAAGGUCUAGGUAAUCGCUAAGAGACACAUCAUGCUUGGGAUAGAUUAUUGCAAAUAUUAAUCUUGAACGAGGAAUUCCUAGUAAGCGCAAGUCAACAGCUUGCGUUGAUUACGUCCCUGCCCUUUGUACACACCGCCCGUCGCUACUACUGAUUGGAUGUUUAAGCGAGGUUCUCGAACUGCUAGCGACUUAGCUUCGGUGAGGUCGCAGUGUGGGAAGUGAACCUAGCUUUGGUGUCUAGAGGAAGUAAAAGUCGUAACA
rnacentral:rRNA from 1 species